GUGGACAGUCAUAAAUGGCUUUAGCAGACAGAUGAUAAUGGCAGAGAUAGAGCUCCGACUUCAUCUUUUUAUCGUCUGCUCCCUGACAGCCUCCUCCAAAACCAUCGAGUAUCCCUCCUCACCACCACCUACGCACUGAUCUGACCUCAACCUCUGGGUGACCAGUUUUUUUCAGAUGGACAUUUGUCACGUGUUACGUCAUUUCGUUAUGCGUCAUGUCAGUAUGCCAGGAAUGGCAGCAGGGAACUUGUUUGUUUACAGACAAAAUGUCGUUAUGCAGUCAAAAAGUACAGUCAUUUGCGGUUACGAGCAUUAUGCAUUUUCUGGUUACGAGAAAUCUCCGAAAACAGUACUCUUCCCAGGAGAGCAGUUCUGCUAUGAAAAGGUCUUUCUUCCCAACAGCGAAGUAGUCUACAAGACUUCCCAGCUUUGCAGAUUUCUUUGCUCCUGAUAAAGAGGGACUUGUACCUGUUUACCUUCAAAAUCUAUUGAGUUCUUGACUAAAUCUACGCCAGACACAAGUUUGUUGCUUUGUUAUUUUUAUGUUUCAUUUUGCCGUGUUUCUCUUUUGUUUUGUUUUAAACUUGAUAUUUCCGAGGAACUAAAGUUGCUCAUGUUCAUGUGUAUUAAAUAUGAAAUUAAAGUGCUAAAUAAAAUUACCAGUUCUUUUU